rnacentral:lncRNA from 1 species
UUGGUUACAUUUUUGUAGCAAUUUAACAUUCUAAGCAUCUUAGCACCAUGAGGAUAGAAGAGCUACAAAGCAGUAUAGAGGCAUAAGAGUUGCAUCUGACUGAGAGAAAGUCUGAAAAGGAGGUAGAGCAACAGGCUCUAAAAGCAGCUUCUAGUAAGAAAUAUCAAAUGCAGUCUUGGACAUUAGCAAAGAAGAGAUCUAAUUGUGUUCAAAAUUUAAAAACCUCAACUUCUAGAAGGUAAAAGAGUGCUCAUAAGGGGAAGGAGGAGUAUGAC